CGCGGCCUAUCAGCUUGUUGGUAGGGUAACGGCCUACCAAGGCGACGAUUGAUAGCCGACCUGAGAGGGUGACCGGCCACACUGGGAUUGAGAUAAGGCCCAGUCUCCUACGGGAGCCAGCAGUCUAGAAAUUUGGGCAAUGGGCGAAAGCCUGACCCAGCGACGCCGCGUGGGGGAUGAAGCUUCUCGGAGUGUAAACCCCUGUUAGGUGGGACGAAAGCCCGUAUACGAAUAGUAGGCGGGUCUGACGGUACCACCAGAGGAAGCUCCGGCUAACUCCGUGCCAGCAGCCGCGGUAAUACGGGGGGAGCAAGCGUUGUUCGGAGUUAUUGGGCGUAAAGGGCGUACAGGCGGUGGUGUCAGUCAGAUGUGAAAUCCCCCGGCUCAACCGGGGACCUGCAUUUGAUACUGCAUCACUUGAGUACAGGAGAGGAGAGCGGAAUUUUCGGUGUAGCGGUGGAAUGUGUAGAUAUCGAAAAGAACACCAGUGGCGAAGGCGGCUCUCUGGCCUGAUACUGACGCUGACGCGCGAAAGCUAGGGGAGCAAACAGGAUUAGAUACCCUGGUAGUCCUAGCUGUAAACGUUGGGCACUAGGUGUUGGAGGUAUCGACCCCUUCAGUGCCGAAGCUAACGCAUUAAGUGCCCCGCCUGGGGAGUACGG
rnacentral:rRNA from 1 species